rnacentral:rRNA from 1 species
GAUGAACGCUGGCGGCGUGCUUAACACAUGCAAGUCGAGCGAAGCACUCCGGAUGAGGCCUUCGGGCGGAUUCUGGUUUGACUGAGCGGCGGACGGGUGAGUAACGCGUGGGUAACCUGCCUCAUACAGGGGGAUAACAGCCUGAAAAGGCUGCUAAUACCGCAUAAGCGCACAGUACCGCAUGGUACAGUGUGAAAAGCCGAGACGGUAUGAGAUGGACCCGCGUUAGAUUAGCCAGUUGGCGGGGUAACGGCCCACCAAAGCGACGAUCUAUAGCCGGCCUGAGAGGGCGACCGGCCACAUUGGGACUGAGACACGGCCCAAACUCC